GGCAAAAGCUCAAAUUUGAAAUCUGGUACCUUCGGUGCCCGAGUUGUAAUUUGGAGAGGGCAACUUUGGGGCCGUUCCUUGUCUAUGUUCCUUGGAACAGGACGUCAUAGAGGGUGAGAAUCCCGUGUGGCGAGGAGUGCGGUUCUUUGUAAAGUGCCUUCGAAGAGUCGAGUUGUUUGGGAAUGCAGCUCUAAGUGGGUGGUAAAUUCCAUCUAAAGCUAAAUAUUGGCGAGAGACCGAUAGCGAACAAGUACAGUGAUGGAAAGAUGAAAAGAACUUUGAAAAGAGAGUGAAAAAGUACGUGAAAUUGUUGAAAGGGAAGGGCAUUUGAUCAGACAUGGUGUUUUGUGCCCUCUGCUCCUUGUGGGUAGGGGAAUCUCGCAUUUCACUGGGCCAGCAUCAGUUUUGGUGGCAGGAUAAAUCCAUAGGAAUGUAGCUUGCCUCGGUAAGUAUUAUAGCCUGUGGGAAUACUGCCAGCUGGGACUGAGGACUGCGACGUAAGUCAAGGAUGCUGGCAUAAUGGUUAUAUG
rnacentral:rRNA from 1 species